CAGUCGCCACGGUAAUACGUAGGGUGCAAGCGUUAAUCGGAAUUACUGGGCGUAAAGCGUGCGCAGGCGGUUCGCUAAGACAGAUGUGAAAUCCCCGGGCUUAACCUGGGAACUGCAUUUGUGACUGGCGGGCUAGAGUAUGGCAGAGGGGGGUAGAAUUCCACGUGUAGCAGUGAAAUGCGUAGAGAUGUGGAGGAAUACCGAUGGCGAAGGCAGCCCCCUGGGCCAAUACUGACGCUCAUGCACGAAAGCGUGGGGAGCAAACAGGAUUAGAUACCCGAGUAGUCCCUGUCUCUUAUAC
rnacentral:rRNA from 1 species